UACGAAGGGGGCUAGCGUUGCUCGGAAUCACUGGGCGUAAAGCGCACGUAGGCGGAUUGCUAAGUCAGGGGUGAAAUCCUGGAGCUCAACUCCAGAACUGCCCUUGAUACUGGCGGUCUCGAGUCCGGAGAGGUGAGUGGAACUGCGAGUGUAGAGGUGAAAUUCGUAGAUAUUCGCAAGAACACCAGUGGCGAAGGCGGCUCACUGGCCCGGUACUGACGCUGAGGUGCGAAAGCGUGGGGAGCAAACAGG
rnacentral:rRNA from 1 species